rnacentral:rRNA from 1 species
AUUGAACGCUGGCGGCAGGCCUAACACAUGCAAGUCGAGCGGAGCGGCGGACGGGUGAGUAAUGCCUAGGAAUCUGCCUGGUGGUGGGGGAUACCGUACGGAAACGGGCGCUAAUACAGCAUACUAUCAGAUGAGCCUCGGUCGGAUUAGCUAGUUGGUGGGGUAAAGGCCUACCAAGGCGACGAUCCGUAAGCGGUCUGAGAGGAUGAUCAGUCACACUGGAACUGAGACACGGCCCAGACUCCUACGGGAGGCAGCAGUGGGGAAGAUUGGACAAUGGGCGAAAGCCUGAUGCAGCCAUGCCGCGUGUAUGAAGAAGGCCUUCGGGUUGUAAAGUACUUUCAGCGGGGAGGCGUUACCCGCAGAAGAAGCACCGGCUAACUCCGUGCCAGCCGCCGCGGUAAUUC